UCCUUAAUUGAUGUUUCAAAGAAGAGAAAUCCAUGGUCAAUUUUCCUCUUGUGAAGCUCCCAAGAAAAGAAAUAGAAGAAUUUCCUAAAUCCUGAACCAAAGAAGCAUAAACUAGUGAGUGCAAAGGCAGAAAAAAAGCAGUAACAUUCUAGAGAUAAAAUGCAAAGUGAAAUGAUAUUGUACCUUUACUUUGGAGGGGAUUAUUUUUUUUCUCCUAGAACCAACAACCAAACACCUGAAAAGGGUGAGAAGUUCUGCUAGACUGAGGUUUCUCCUUUGGAAAGUCAAAAAAGAUCCCUACACAUUUUUUGGAAAUAAAAAGGGCUGUGA
rnacentral:lncRNA from 1 species